UACGAAGGGGGCUAGCGUUGCUCGGAAUCAUUGGGCGUAAAGGGUGCGUAGGUGGCGCUGUAAGUCAGGUGUGAAAUUUCGGAGCUUAACUCCGAAACUGCAUUUGAUACUGCGGUGCUCGAGGACUGGAGAGGAGACUGGAAUUUACGGUGUAGCAGUGAAAUGCGUAGAGAUCGUAAGGAAGACCAGUGGCGAAGGCGGGUCUCUGGACAGUUCCUGACACUGAGGCACGAAGGCCAGGGGAGCAAACGGG
rnacentral:rRNA from 1 species